rnacentral:rRNA from 1 species
UGGGGGAUAUUGCACAAUGGGCGAAAGCCUGAUGCAGCGACGCCGCGUGGGGGAUGAAGGCCUUCGGGUUGUAAACUUCUUUUGCUCUGAACAAGGCAUGCCUUUGGGGUGUGUUGAGUGUAGGGGUUGAUUAGCGCCGGCUAACUACGUGCCAGCAGCCGCGGUAAUACGUAGGGCGCGAGCGUUGUCCGGAAUUAUUGGGCGUAAAGGGCUUGUAGGUGGCUGGUUGCGUCUGUCGUGAAGGCUCAUGGCUUAACUGUGGGUUUGCGGUGGGUACGGGCUGGCUUGAGUGUAGUAGGGGAGGCUGGAAUUCCUGGUGUAGCGGUGGAAUGCGCAGAUAUCAGGAGGAAUACCGGUGGCGAAGGCGGGUCUCUGGGCUGUUACUGACGCUGAGGAGCGAAAGCGUGGGGAGCGAACAGG